rnacentral:tRNA from 1 species
GUUAUGUCUGCCUUCUUGAAUA